rnacentral:misc_RNA from 1 species
GUGAGCAGAAUUAGGUCAAGCCGCCAACAAAAAAAAUAAGAAGAAAAUCCCAUAAUCACCGAUCUCACUUCGUGGUUGACGAUUCGUCGGUGUGAAGUGUACUUGCUGUAGAGGUGUCUAUUAGACCUUUCCAAUAUUUACCAUGGAUUGGGCGAGCGUUUCGAGACGAAACGUAUUUGAUUUGCAGGUUUUCUCUUGCAAGGAGGUGAUCAGUUUUAGCUAUGCAGAUCGCUAUUCUGCCUAACGAGUAUCCGUAGAGAAUCAAGAACUUCAGGGAAAGUUAGGUUUUUCUGGUUUUUCUCUGAUUACAAAAAUCGACGGUGUGAAUUUCGGUUCCUACAGUCAUGAUUAUGCGGGAUGCUUCAACUUCAAGUUACUCUUGUCUGCCAUUUUACCUUGUUCAUCAAACAAAAUCAGUUUAAAAAGAACAAGAUUAUAUGAACUAAAGGAACAUCGAUUACUUCAAAGAGUACACAACCGACACAAGCGAUUACUGUUUAUAUUCAAGACUUCAUUACAUUCAAUAAAAAAACUAAAUCAUUAGGUAGAUCCUCUCAUAUCUUACAUUUAUUCUAUAAUUCCUUAUAUAUUAAAAGAGAAACAUUGUAAUAAAUACAUUCACAUUAUAAUAGAC